rnacentral:rRNA from 1 species
UACGUAGGGCGCAAGCGUUGUCCGGAAUUAUUGGGCGUAAAGAGCUCGUAGGCGGUUUGUCGCGUCUGCUGUGAAAACCUAAGGCUCAACCUUGGGCUUGCAGUGGGUACGGGCAGACUAGAGUGCGGUAGGGGUGACUGGAAUUCCUGGUGUAGCGGUGGAAUGCGCAGAUAUCAGGAGGAACACCAAUAGCGAAGGCAGCUCGCUGGGACGUUACUGACACUGAGGCGCGAAAGCGUGGGGAGCGAACAGG